rnacentral:rRNA from 1 species
UGAAAGGCCAAUCAAACUUCGUGAUAGCUGGUUCUCUCCGAAAUAUAUUUAGGUAUAGCGUUGUGUCGUAGUAUAAGGGGGUAGAGCACUGAAUGGGCUAGGGCAUACACCAAUGUACCAAACCCUAUCAAACUCCGAAUACCUUAUAUGUAAUCACAGCAGUCAGGCGGCGAGUGAUAAAAUCCGUCGUCAAGAGGGAAACAACCCAGACUAUCAGCUAAGGUCCCCAAGUCUUACUUAAGUGGAAAACGAUGUGAAGUUACUUAAACAACCAGGAGGUUGGCUUAGAAGCAGCCAUCCUUUAAAGAAAGCGUAAUAGCUCACUGGUCUAGUGAUUUUGCGCGGAAAAUAUAACGGGGCUAAAGUAAGCACCGAAGCUAUAGACUUAGUUUUACUAAGUGGUAGGAGAGCGUUCUAUUUGCGUCGAAGGUAUACCGGUAAGGAGUGCUGGAGCGAAUAGAAGUGAGCAUGCAGGCAUGAGUAGCGAUAAUUAAUGUGAGAAUCAUUAACGCCGUAAACCCAAGGUUUCCUACGCGAUGCUCGUCAUCGUAGGGUUAGUCGGGUCCUAAGUCGAGUCCGAAAGGGGUAGACGAUGGCAAAUUGGUUAAUAUUCCAAUACCAACAUUAGUGUGCGAUGGAAGGACGCUUAGGGCUAAGCAAGCUAGCGGAUGGAAGUGCUAGUCUAAGGAUGUAGGAGCUUAUACAGGCAAAUCCGUAUAAGAAUACUCCGAGAUCUUAAAGGCUCUUCAAAGUCUUCGGAUAGCGAGGAGAAUUGCUGAUGCCGUCGAGCCAAGAAAAGUUUCUAAGUUUAGCUAAUGUUGCCCGUACCGUAAACCGACACAGGUGGGUGGGAUGAGUAUUCUAAGGCGCGUGGAAGAACUCUCUUUAAGGAACUCUGCAAAAUAGCACCGUAUCUUCGGUAUAAGGUGUGGUUCGCUUUGUAUUAGAAUUUACUUCGAAAGCAAAGAAACUUACAACAAAGAGUCCCUCCCGACUGUUUACCAAAAACACAGCACUCUGCUAACUCGUAAGAGGAUGUAUAGGGUGUGACGCCUGCCCGGUGCUCGAAGGUUAAUUGAUGGGGUUAGCAUUAGCGAAGCUCUUGAUCGAAGCCCGAGUAAACGGCGGCCGUAACUAUAACGGUCCUAAGGUAGCGAAAUUCCUUGUCGGUUAAAUACCGACCUGCAUGAAUGGCGUAACGAGAUGGGAGCUGUCUCAAAGAGGGAUCCAGUGAAAUUGUAGUGGAGGUGAAAAUUCCUCCUACCCGCGGCAAGACGGAAAGACCCCGUGGACCUUUACUACAGCUUGACACUGCUAUUUGGAUAAGAAUGUGCAGGAUAGGUGGGAGGCUUUGAGUAAUAGACGCUAGUUUAUUAUGAGCCAUUGUUGAGAUACCACUCUUUCUUAUUUGGGUAGCUAACUAGCUUGAGUUAUCCUCAAGUAGGACAAUGUCUGGUGGGUAGUUUGACUGGGGCGGUCGCCUCCCAAAUAAUAACGGAGGCUUACAAAGGUUGGCUCAGAACGGUUGGAAAUCGUUCGUAGAGUAUAAAGGUAUAAGCCAGCUUAACUGCAAGACAUACAAGUCAAGCAGGGACGAAAGUCGGUCUUAGUGAUCCGGUGGUUCUGUGUGGAAGGGCCAUCGCUCAAAGGAUAAAAGGUACCCCGGGGAUAACAGGCUGAUCUCCCCCAAGAGCUCACAUCGACGGGGAGGUUUGGCACCUCGAUGUCGGCUCAUCGCAUCCUGGGGCUGGAGCAGGUCCCAAGGGUAUGGCUGUUCGCCAUUUAAAGCGGUACGCGAGCUGGGUUCAGAACGUCGUGAGACAGUUCGGUCCCUAUCUGCCGUGGGCGUAAGAAGAUUGAAGAGAUUUGACCCUAGUACGAGAGGACCGGGUUGAACAAACCACUGGUGUAGCUGUUGUUCUGCCAAGAGCAUCGCAGCGUAGCUAAGUUUGGAACGGAUAAACGCUGAAAGCAUCUAAGCGUGAAGCCAACUCUAAGAUGAAUCUUCUCUAAGCUCUCUAGAAGACUACUAGUUUGAUAGGCUGGGUGUGUAAUGGAUGAAAGUCCUUUAGCUGACCAGUACUAAUAGAGCGUUUGGCUUAUCUUUUUUAUAAGCAU